CAAAGGCUUGGUCCUGACUUUAUUAUCAACUUUAGCCAAAUUUACACAUGCAAGUAUCCGCACCCCCGUGAGAAUGCCCUACAGUUCCCAAUCUGGAAACAAGGAGCUGGUAUCAGGCACAUCUUGUUGAGCCCAUGACACCUUGCUUAGCCACACCCUCAAGGGAACUCAGCAGUGAUAAACAUUAAGCCAUAAGUGAAAACUUGACUUAGUUAAAGCUAAGAGGGCCGGUAAAACUCGUGCCAGCCACCGCGGUUAUACGAGAGGCCCAAGUUGACAAACACCGGCGUAAAGCGUGGUUAAGAAAAAACUCAUACUAAAGCCAAACAUCUUCCAGGCUGUUAUACGCAACUGAAGGUUGGAAGUUCAACCACGAAAGUGGCUUUACCUCAUCUGAGCCCACGAAAGCUAAGGAACAAACUGGGAUUAGAUACCCCACUAUGCCUAGCCCUAAACAUUGAUGGUACUAUACACCCCCCAUCCGCCCGGGAACUACGAGCAAUAGCUUAAAACCCAAAGGACUUGGCGGUGCUUUAGAUCCAC
rnacentral:rRNA from 1 species